UCACUGGGCGUAAAGGGUGCGUAGGCGGUUUUUCAAGUCAGAAGUGAAAGGCUAGUGGCUCAACCAUAGUAAGUCUUUUAGAAACUGUUAAACUUGAGUGCAGGAGAGGGAAAGUGGUAAUUCCUAGUGUAGAGGUAGAAAUUCGUAGAUAUUAGGAGGAACACCAGUGGCGAAGGCGACUUCCUGGACUAGUAACUGACGCUGAGGCACGAAAGACGUGGGGAGCGAACAGGAUUAGAUACCUCGGUAG
rnacentral:rRNA from 1 species